UCUUAUCAAGAGUGGUGGAGGGACUGGCCCGUCGAUACCCAGCAACCAAUAUGUUCAAUACACAUAUAAUGGUGCUAAAUCCUGCAGCUUUUCAUGCUGAUAGAUGAG
rnacentral:ncRNA from 1 species